UUCAUAAAGAAAAACAUUAAUGCAGCAUCCAUAAAGAAGGGUAUGACAGGCAUGAAUCAAGAUUAGCUAAUCAAUGGGGAAAAAAUAUGACGCUGGAGUGGUUUUUUUUUUCUUUUUCUCUGGAUGUGAACGUGGACAAUUUGCCCUUGGGGGUUGUCUGCAGUUUUCUCCUGCAGGCUAUAGGACGCUGAGUUUAUCUGAACUAUUUGUUGAUUUUUAUGUUGUUGGUUGGUAGAGAAAAUAUAGCUUAGGCCUUGUUUAAAUACACCAAAAAAUCCAAAACUUUACAAGAUUCCCCGUCACAUCGAAUCUUGUGGCACAUGCAUGGAGUAUUAAAUAUAGAUAAAAAUAAAAACUAAUUACAC
rnacentral:lncRNA from 1 species